GAUUCUCUAGGGGAAGCCAAAGCUGUUUGAAGUGGUUCAAGGCAGGCUUGAACCCUAUCGCUUAAGAAACAAAUCUGUGGAGCACGGGGUGAGGGGAGAGGGCCAAGCUAAGCCAGCGGGGAACGAGAGGAAUCCGAAUCGGUAGGGAGACUAUAGAAUCUUUUCUUUAUGUCGUUCUGCUAUUAUUGUGUGGUGCUUUUAAGUUUUGCGGCUUAUGUAAGCCACUUCGGAAGAGCAGUGCUCUCAGACAAAUGGAACAAGCACUUCCCAUUGUAUUAGAAGCAGGAACAGGAGCCGGCAACCAAGUGGAGGGCUGGAAGAUCUCUCCCACAAAGAAAGGCGUUACAAAUGUCUGGGGCUUUUUGGCUUAGAAAUAAGGCAAGGAAGGCGAGGAGAGGCAGUACAGGGAUAGAAAGUUAUGCAGGCUGUGAAGAAAGUGGGUAAUACGUACUAGAAUCUAGGGUCACUCGAUUAAGCUGGAUAGUGGGAGCGUCUCUGCAGGGUGGUCUGGAGGAAGAAGAGGAGUUUGGAUUUGAUAUCCUGCUUUAUCACCACCCUAAGGAGUCUCAAAGCAGCCAACAAACUCCUUUCCCUUCUUCCCCCACAACAAACACUCUGUGAGGUGAGUGGGGCUGAGAGACUUCAGAGAAGUGUGACUAGCCUAAGGUCACCCAGCAGCUGCAUGUGGAGGAGCGGGGAAGCGAACACGGUUCACCAGAUUACGAGUCCACUGCUCUUAACCGCUACACCACAUAGGCUCUCCUUCACGAUGGUUGCCAUAACAGUAGCAUCUGAACUGAGGUAGAUACAAACAAUUUCACUCUCAAAAGUGCUUGGCAUGUGAAGAGCAUUCUGCAGGCCCCCCAAGUGUCCCUAUUUUCCAGGGACAGUCCCGGAUUUACAGAAGUCAUCCCGGUUUCUGAUUUGAUCCCAGAAUGUCCUGCUUUUCCUUAAAGGUAAAGGACCCCUGACAGUUAAGUCCAGUCGUGAAUGACUCUGGGGUUGCAGCGCUCAUCUCGCUUUACUGGCCGAGGGAGCCAACGUUUGUCCGCAGACAGUUUUUCCGGGUCAUGUGGCCAGCAUGACUAAGCCACUUCUGGCGAAACCAGAGCAGCGCACGGAAACACCGUUUAUAGGUACCGCCGGAGCGGUACCUAUUUAUCUACUUGCACUUUGACGUGCUUUCGAACUGCUAGGUUGGCAGGAGCUGGGACCGAGCAACAGGAGCUCACCCCAUCGCAGGGAUUCGAACUGCCGACCUUCUGAUCGGCAAGCCCUAGGCUCUGUGGUUUAACCCACAGCGCCACUUGCAUCCCCUGUUUUUCCUUAGGAUAUCCCUAUUUUCAUCGGAGAAAUGUUGGAGGGUACGGAGUUAUACGAUACCCAAGCCGAGGAGAUAAGAACUAUAAAACCUUUAGAAGACAACUGAAGGCAGCCCUGUAAAGUUUUUUGACGUUUAAUGUUUUAUUGUGCUUUUAUAUACAGUAUGUUGGAAGUUACCCAGCGUGGCUGGUGCAACCUAGACGGGUGGGUGGGGUAUAAAUAAUAAAAUGAUGAUGAUGGAAUGAGACGUCCCUAUUUUCAUCGGAGAAAUGUUGAUGGGUAUGAUCCUGUUCCUUCAGUGAGUGGCCAACCAGAUGCCAAUGGCAAACCCACAAGCAGGAUUCUGGGUGCAAGCAGCCCUCUCCUCACUUGCCAUUCGCUGCUGGGAGGCAAAACAUGGACCUUGUGGCUAGCAGCCGGCUUUCCCUCAUCCUCUGUGAAUUUUCCUAAUCCUCUUUUAAGGUGGCCGUCACAACCUGUUCUAGUGAGCCACCAAGGAUUUGUGUACAUACUCGGGUUCACCAAGGCUGGCUUUGAACCCCUCGGAAGAGCUCCGCCAAAUUGCACAGUGGUGGAAAAACACAAUUUAUUUGUUGCCGUCACUGCCAUAAAGCAGCAGCUCCUUCCAUUCGCCUGGACUUCCGCUGAGCUUUGCACCACUUGCGUUCAAGCCAUUUCCCUACCAGCUUCAUAGCCUCCAAUUUCCUGGUUAGCCCAGUAGCCAAACAAACUCCGCUGGGUGGGAAAAGGGUGCUUGGGAACGAUCAUAUUCUGAAUCAUCUCUGCGUCAAACACAGCAGCAACUUAAUGGGGAGCCAUGCUAACUGGAAACCAUCAAGGGCUCUGGGAAAUUCUUUAAGUCCUUCCAGGUUGAAUCCUGACAAGAGAGAAGUACUGGUUUUUUUUGGGGGGGGGACAGGGGGCGGUCAGGUGUGGAGGAUUCCCUGGUCCUGAAUGGGGUAACUGUGGCCCUGAAGGACCAGGUGCGAAGCCUGGGAGUCAUUUUGGACUCACAGCUGUCCAUGGAGGCGCAGGUCAAUUCUGUGUCCAGGGUAGCUGUCUACCAGCUCCAUCUGGUACGCAGGCUGAGACCCUAUCUGACCGCAGACUGUCUCGCCAGAGUGGUGCAUGCUCUAGUUAUCUCUCGCUUGGACUACUGCAAUGCGUUCUAUGUGGGGCUACCUUUGAAGGUGAGCUGGAGACUGCAACUAAUCCAGAAUGCGGCAGCUAGACUGGUGACUGGGAGUGGCCGCCGAGACCAUAUACCACCAGACCUGAAAGACCUACAUUGGUUCCCAGUACAUUUCUGAGCACAAUUCAAAGUGUUGGUGCUGACCUUUAAAGCCCUAAAUGUCCUUGGUCCAAUAUACCUGAAGGAGCGUCUCCAUCUCCAUCGUUCAGCCCGGACACCGAGGUCCAGCUCCAAGGGCCUUCUGUGAGAAGUGAGGUUACAGGGAACCAGGCAGAGGGCCUUCUCGGUAGUGGCACCCACCCUGUGGAACCCACCAGAUGUCAAGGAAAUAAACAACUAUCUGACUUUUAGAAGACAUCCGAAGGCAGCCCUGUUUAGGGAAGUUUUUCAUGUUUCGUGUUUUUAGCCAGAUGGGCAGGGUCUUAAUAAUAAUAAUAAUAAUAAUAAUAAUAAUAAUAAUAAUAAUUGUAUUAUUAUUAUUAUUAUUAUUAUUAUUAUUCCAGUGGAGGUAAGGCCUGAAUAAACUGGAGUUAGGGGAAAGGGAGUCAGAGUGGGUGAGAUAAAGGAAGGGGGUGAAAACGAAGAACAGGCAAUGAGGCCGUUCUCAAGAGGUCUAGGGUUGAGGCUACUUGAACGCUGGUUCUGAAGACACUUCCCCACAGGUCCCAGAAGGAAGGGAAAGCUGGACCAGGUGGUGAGUAAGGGAGCAAGCCAGUCCCAAAAGCCAGUGGAAAGAGAGGAGAAUCUCCCAGCAGCCUGCACAAACCUGGCAAGCAAUUCAGUUGGUAAACAAUAACGACAGAAGACAGUAACACCAAAGAGAAUUAUACAAAUUAUACUAAAGAAAGGAGUUUCACCGGGCUGGAGACAAGGAUUGCACAUGGAAGAGUUUGUGCGCAUAGAAUUUCUCAAAUAGACGCACAGCAGAUAUGGCUGGCCAGAGACAGGGCACUGGCUCCCCCUACAGGCCACAGAGUGACCAAGUUCUAUUCUCCUGAAGCCCUAACACAAAACGUGAGGGUGUCCAUUGGAAACAAAAGGAAGAAAAAUAAGAGAGGGCAGAGGAAAAGAAGGCAAGUGACACAUAAGCAGCUGACAACUUAUACUACGCUUUGGUAAGGGUUAGGGUUGCGGGAAUAUAUUUGGCCUCUCUAGAGCUGCAGGCUGACCAUUAUAUAGCUAUAAGGCAAGUUUCAGUGGGCAGCCUUUAACAGCUAAAUAAAUAGCACACAAGGCAGAGAGUUCAAGGGAUGAUAAAAAAGAGCAUCCUUUCUUAUCUCUGCUGCCAGCAGAUUCCUAAACAAUAGCACAAGGCUCCUGUUUGAGGGUGUCAGAGGCCAUGGACAGGAUUGUUAGUGGGUGGAAACAGAGAACUUUUGAACAUUGCAGUUUUGAACAGUACUGGGAAUUCCUUGUCCUACUUAUCACAGAAGUGCAAUGACCCAAGAUAUUCCUUUUGUUCAGGAGCUAGGGGUGUUGAAAGAUUUGAAACUAGCUUAAAAAUAAAAGGUGUAAUAUAGAUACACCCGUUGCAAGCCACUAAGGCUGGGUGAUAUAGCAAUAUAUCGGCCAAAACCGGUUUGAAGUUCAUAUCUUGAUAGCGGUUGCUGGCCAUCAUUUUUGCAUGUUCUUCUGAUCUUUUUUUAAAAAUAUGUUUUUAUUAAAGAUUUCUUAGUUUACAAAAAUACGUGCAUUGUCUCUUUUUUCAAGUUGCGUUUUCUGCAGAUCAGUUUCACUUGUUGUGAGAAGUUAGUGUUACAUACAGAAGUUCUGAUCAAAGAUGCUUGUGCUUUUACCCAGGUCUGUGAAAAACAUAUGAACAGCUGCAAGGAUGUUGCUUGCCCAGAGUUGGAAAGACGGUGAGAUACCUACGAGAGCAGACUGGCAGAUGAAACUAUUGGACUAUGCAGAGAUGGCAAGAUUAACUGGGAAAAUCAGAAAUCAGGCAUAUCAAAAUUUCAAUAGAGAAUGGGACAAAUAUAGAUUGUAUUUGCAAGACCACUGUAAACACUUCAACUUUUUAGGCUUUGGAUAUAACGGAGGACUGUAAUUUGGAUGGAUUUAUAAUAUGCAGGUGGAAGAGUUUUUUAAUGAACCCACGGAGGCGAGAAGGGAAGUGCAAGGAUUCCCAAGAAUUUUGUGUAAAGUUUUAAUAUUUGCAAGAAUAUUUUUCUGUGAAUGAAAUUGUAAAACCAAGUAAAAAUUUAUUUUUUUAAUGAAAACAAAGAAAAACAAAUGAACUCUUUGCUCUCUCAUGGCCUUUGGCACCCCAACUAUUUUACGACCCUUUCUGUUCUGCAUCCACAUACAGCGGUUUGCUUGGCAGGCAGGCCUAAUGGAAAGACCACAGGAAGCUUCACUGAACAGUAGUAGUGGAGGAGAGUGCCAACUGCUGAAACUGUGAAGGCCCUGUGUCUCUUCUGCAGAUCUUGACACAGCCCCAUUGUUGUCCCAGAAGCACAUGGAUCUCAAAGCUGCCUGGACACUGAGCUGGCAAAUGUCAGCUGUUUGCUGCACUGCUUAACUGUUUGGCAUUGAAACAAAACCUUAACGGACUGGAGAGCUGGGUCCAAGUGAACACAACGAAUUUCAGCACGGACAAAUGUAAGGUUCUGCACUUAGGCACGAAGAACCAGAUGCAUAAAUAUAGGAUGGGAGACACUUGCAGUAAAUGUGAAAAGGAUUCUAGGGGUCUUGGUGGACCACAAGUUUAACAUGAGCCAGCAGUGUGAUGCAGCAGCAAAAAAGGCUAAUGCUUAUUCUAGGCUGCAUCAGCAGAAAUAUAGUGUCCAUUUCAAGUACAAGAAGAGCUGUGGAACAUGUGGAACAGUCUCCCUCAGAAGGCAGUAGAUUUUCCUUCCUUGGAGGUUUUUAAGCAGAGGUGGGAUGGCCAUUUGCCAUGGAUGCUUUAGCUGAGAUUCCUGCAUUGCAGGGGGUUGGUCUAGAUGACCCAGGGGUCCCUUCCAACUCUACGAUUCUAUGAGAAGAAAAAAGUCUCUGGGUACUUUCAUGAUAAGCUUUCAGCGACAUGGCUCACAAACACUUUCCCCUUUUUACAGAAGUGCACACAUGUAUCUGCCAAUAGAGGACAACACUUCAUGCACCUCCAUUUAUUUGUGGCACAAUAGCACCUGCUAGUCUGUUAGGAAUCAGAAAACUCUUCCCACCCACUGCUCCGGACUACAGCAACUGCCCCUCUGAAUCAGGUUUUUUUUUGAGGGACUGGCUGUGCCCUAGUGCCUUCGAGAGGAGUUUGACACACCAAAAUGAAGUGGGUGAAGCUUAUACCAGGAAGUGUUUCACUCGGCAAAAUUCCUGCAGAUCAGGCACAGGAGUGGUGCCAGAAAAGAACAAAUGGCUAAUCCUAGUCCAGAGCCUAAACAGAAGGGUUGCAGUGUAGUAAAAAAAUAAUAAUUACUUGACUGUGUCCUAACCACCCCUUAUGUGUCAAGACUGACAAAGGAUUCUGGAGAAUUCAAAAGACUACAUACAACUUUGCGAUGUUUUGCUUAGCCUAAUAAAGGUUAAUAUGGUUUCUGGAUUUUCCUUAUGGGAUAACAUGGCUGCCAUUUUAUUUUUUUUAAAGGUCUCCAUAUGCUUCCUCAGUGGGCCAGGAGCCUGACGUGACAAUCCUGAGACAAGAUUUCAACACCAGAAAAUAUGGGUAGGCAAACUAAGGCCCGGGGGCCAGAUCCGGCCCAAUAGCCUUCUAAAUCCGGCCUGCGGACGGUCCAGGAAUCAGCGUGUUUUUACAUGAGUAGAAUGUGUCCUUUUAUUUAAAAUGCAUCUCUGGGGUAUUUGUGGGGCAUAGGAAUUUGUUCAUUUCCCCCCCUUCAAAAUAUAGUCCAGCCCCCCACAAACUCUGAGGGACAGUGGACUGGCCCCCUGCUAGAAAAGUUUGCUGACCCCUGCCAUAAGAGCCCUGCCAUGAAAUUGAAACAGGGCAUUUUGACACAGUGGCUCAGCAAGUUAGUCCUCCUUGGUCUGUCAGUUGAUUCUUCUCCCUGGCUUGUCAGUUAAUUCUUUUCCUGAUACUGACCUGGUGGGACGCAUGGCUGCAAGUAGCUGCAAGCAGCCCAGGAAGCAUGCAAUCGACUCAGUUCUGGGAACACUUUGAAACGGCCUGACAAGGAUUUCUUGGAACAAAGUAUGCCUUGGGAUCCUCCCUGGGCAGAACUCCAUACCAGCCAAGAUAAUGUUAUUUCCCAUGUUCCUUUUUGUGUGUACUUUUAAGCCACUGGUUUGCAAUCAAUUUUACUUUUAAAAUACCAAAAUGUGCCUUGCGAUUUCCCUCGCCACCUGCCCGUAUCAGAUUGCAAAUACCCUAAUCCUAUUUGGGUUCCUUUCAUAAGAGAGUUUUAAAGCGUUCUUGUGGCAGAACAGUCUUGACACCAGCACAUUGGCAGGUUUCUGAGCUUUCGGAUUAGCAAAAUGGAUGGGGUGCAGCGCAUGGGGUUAGCAAAAUCUUGGUGGCACCUUGCGCUUAUCCCUUGGCGGGCCCACAGAGCCACAAAGAUGAUCAUGCCAAAAUACAAGGCCCAGAAAGCUUCUCCAUAUGGCAGAAAUUGGGAGCCGUAGACAGCAGACUGUCGACAAUAGCCACAGUUGAACCAGAGGUAUUCCAAGUGUCAGUCACUCUUACCUUUCUGCCGCCAGGUAGAGAUAGCUGAUACAGUGGUACCUUGUUUCCCGAACUUAAUCUGUUCUGGGAGUCCGUUCGACUCCCGAAACCGUUCGAAAACCAAGGCGCAGCUUCUGAUUGGCUGCAGGAGCUUCCUGCACUCAAGCAGAAACUGUGUCGGACGUUCGACUUCCGAAAAACAUUCGCAAACCAGAACACUUACUUCCGGGUUUGCGGCGUUCGGGAGCUGAUUUGUUCAACAACUAAGCUGUUUGGGAAACAAGGCACCACUGUACUGGGAGGCUGGCUGCUCACUGCUGUACUUUUAUUUUAUUUUCCACGGAACUGAAUGGCAAGAAAUAUAACAGGGGACCCCACUGGGGUAGGAGACUAACCUGUCCCCAACAACCAGCAAUAUCUAGGGCAGAUAUUAUUCCACAUCUGAGAUACAGCUCUUUUUCUUUCUCCCCCGAACUAAAAAGGUUCCGAAUCUCUGGAAUUCAAAAGGUUCCAAGUUGCGCAGGGCUGCAAUUGGUGACCUCGUUCAGAUGGGGGAAAGAUGAUCUCCUUCGUUCCUGAGACAGCAUUUACUCGGGUUGUUGGAGUGGAAGGCAAAGUUGGCCCUACUCCAGUGGAAUCAAGUGCGACCCUAUACUUCUGGUCCAUAAAUGUGAAUGACUGCCUGCUUGCCGGUCACACACUUGGGAAGGAGAACGAGAUGCAGAACACAGACUCUGAAAACUUAUUAAAUCUGCUCCCCGCAACCCAGCCACAGCAAAUUUGCUAGCAAAGUUAUGUUACUUUGAAGGCUCUUCAAUACAUAUUUGGCAGCAAAGCCCCAAGCCCUUAGCAGAAUUGCUGGAAAGUUUUUAC